ACUGGGAUAACCCUGGGAAACUGGGGCUAAUACCGGAUAGGCAAUUUUUCCUGGAAUGGUUUUUUGUUUAAAUGUUUUUUCGCCUAAGGAUGGGUCUGCGGCCGAUUAGGUAGUUGGUUAGGUAAUGGCUUACCAAGCCGUUGAUCGGUACGGGUUGUGAGAGCAAGAGCCCGGAGAUGGAACCUGAGACAAGGUUCCAGGCCCUACGGGGUGCAGCAGGCGCGAAACCUCCGCAAUGUGAGAAAUCGCGACGGGGGGAUCCCAAGUGCCAUUCUUAACGGGAUGGCUUUUCAUUAGUGUAAAGAGCUUUUGGAAUAAGAGCUGGGCAAGACCGGUGCCAGCCACCGCGGUAACACCGGCAGCUCUAGUGGUAACAAUUUUUAUUGGGCCUAAAGCGUCCGUAGCCGGUUUAAUAAGUCUCUGGUGAAAUCCUGUAGCUUAACUGUGGGAAUUGCUGGAGAUACUAUUAGACUUGAGACCGGGAGAGGUUAGAGGUACUCCCAGGGUAGAGGUGAAAUUCUGUAAUCCUGGGAGGACCGCCUGUUGCGAAGGCGUCUAACUGGAACGGUUCUGACGGUGAGGGACGAAAGUUAGGGGCGCGAACCGGAUUAGAUACCCGGGUAGUCCUAACUGUAAACGAUGCGGACUUGGUGUUGGGGUGGCUUUGAGCUGCUCCAGUGCCGAAGGGAAGCUGUUAAGUCCGCCGCCUGGGAAGUACGGUCGCAAGACUGAAACUUAA
rnacentral:rRNA from 1 species